GACGAACGCUGGCGGCGUGCUUAACACAUGCAAGUCGAACGGAAAGGCCCUGCUUUUGUGGGGUGCUCGAGUGGCGAACGGGUGAGUAACACGUGAGUAACCUGCCCUUGACUUUGGGAUAACUUCAGGAAACUGGGGCUAAUACCGGAUAGGAGCUCCUGCUGCAUGGUGGGGGUUGGAAAGUUUCGGCGGUUGGGGAUGGACUCGCGGCUUAUCAGCUUGUUGGUGGGGUAGUGGCUUACCAAGGCUUUGACGGGUAGCCGGCCUGAGAGGGUGACCGGCCACAUGAGGACUGAGAGACGGCCCAGACUCCUACGGGAGGCAGCAGUGGGGAAUAUUGCACAAUGGGCGGAAGCCUGAUGCAGCAACGCCGCGUGCGGGAUGACGGCCUUCGGGUUGUAAACCGCUUUCGCCUGUGACGAAGCGUGAGUGACGGUAAUGGGUAAAGAAGCACCGGCUAACUACGUG
rnacentral:rRNA from 1 species